rnacentral:rRNA from 1 species
ACAUGCCUACAUCAUAGUGUUAAUGCACCAGAUCCCAUUAGAACUCUGCAGUUAAGUGCACUUAGGCUAUAGUAGUAAUGGGUGAUCGUGGAAAGUCCUAGUGUUUUACAUGCC